rnacentral:rRNA from 1 species
AAAUUCCAGGUAUGCAUCCAAACGGGUUGGGAAGCUUUCCCAAAUGGUUCGGACCUGCAGGGCGGCCGGGAAUUUCAUUAGUGAUUUGGAAGUAAAAAGUCGUAACAAGGUUCUCCCGUUGGUGAACCAGGGAGGGAUCAUUAC